UACGGAGGGUGCGAGCGUUGUCCGGAAUCACUGGGCGUAAAGGGCGCGUAGGUGGCGCGGCAAGUCAACGGUGAAAGCUCGACGCUCAACGUCGAGUCGGCCGUCGAUACUGCUGGGCUCGAGCACUGUAGAGGCAGAUGGAAUUCCGGGUGUAGCGGUGGAAUGCGUAGAGAUCCGGAAGAACACCGGUGGCGAAGGCGGUCUGACUGGGCCAAGACUGACGCUGAGGCGCGACAGCGUGGGGAGCAACGAGG
rnacentral:rRNA from 1 species